GGGGACGUGGCUGAAGUCAGUCGGGCCGCCCGCUUGCUGCACGGCAGCCGUGGGACUGGCACAGGCUCCUCGGCAGCAUUAUGGGCAGCUGGUAGAGCGGCCACUUCUGAGAGCCGGAUGGGCCUUCCGAGGUCGGGCCGUGCCCCGCUGGGCAGCGCAGAGGGGGUGUGUAGGGCACGCGACUUGGAGCCAGGUCCAGACCCAUCCUGGCUCCUCUCAGGGCUCCUUCCCCUGCCCCCAUUCCACCCCAGCCCUGCUGGCUGUCCCGCAGGACCCAGCGCCGCGGUAGCCUUCUCUGAACUGCGGCUCAGGCGGAGGUGUCACUCCUGCCUCCAGCCCAGGAGGGCAGGUCAGGUUAUGCAACGCGUGCCGCGCGAUCUCCCCCCACCUCCAACCCCCUUUUCUCCCGGGUCCACACCGCAGUUCCCACCGCUCCGGGUGUCCUCCCCAGUGCGCCGCGAUUUUUGUGUCCAAGCCCCAGAGUCCCUCUGAGACCAACCCCCAGCCAGCACAGACUUCCUGCCUUCCCAGCUCGGGCGACCACCCCAACCCCCUGCCUUUGCUCUCGCCCCCGUUUCAGACUUCUCUUCUCUUCUUGAAGUCAAGCCCUCAAGUCGGGACUCUAGGAAGUCCGUUUUCUUCGUCCUAACCCCUUUGUAUCCUCUCCCAUCCCCACCCCUUUCACUCUGCCCUCUGGCUCUGAUUUCUCGGCCUUUCCGUUUUUUCUCUCCAGGUAGAGACAGCUCCGGGCCGGGGGUGGAGGAUGGUGCGGUGGGGAGGAGGCAAGGAAAUUCCCAGCCUUCCUGCGCGAACCUGGGAGACCAGCAGGCACCUGGUCUCGUCCCGCUGGGUCCCCUCCGCACCCAAGACUGUCUUCCCAAGUGGCUUACUCCACAGAAGGAAUGUCGUCAGCUGAUUAUAUCUGAUUAGCAUCCAGUUCCGACGACUCAUCCCUUAAAACGGAUGUGGUCUCAUUAGGUUGCCCAAGCUGGACUUGUACUCUUGGCCUCAAGAGGUCCUUCCAUCUCAGUCUCCCAAGUAGCUGGGACUACAAGCAUGCACCACUACACUCAGCCAAAUACUUUCAAUAAUUUGCCAGCUGACAACUUGAUUGGGUUCUCCUUCAGGUUUGAAGCGCCCUCGAGAAGUGUCUAAAGGAGACAGUUGAUAGCCAAACAACAGUUUUGGAUUCACUGACUGAUUAUGAAAGAAGCAGUAGACUGGUAUCAAGAAUCAGUCAGGUUUGAAUUGUUUUUUCCAAUAUGUGCGCUGCUGGUGUUAAGUCUGAAUGAAGGAAGGGACUGGGAGUCAUUUCCUAACAUUGCUAUGGUUUGAAUGUGUCCCCUAAAUUUCAUGUCUUGGAAACUUAAUCCCCAAAUUCAAAUGUUGAUUGGAAGUGGAACCUUUAGGACAUAAUUAGGAUUAGAUAAGGUCAUCAGUGUGGGCCCCCACCCCCAUGAUGGAACUGGUGGCUUUAUAAGAAGAGGAAGAUAAGAAGGGAAAGAAAGACCUGAGCUGACAUGCACAUGCUUGACCACUUGUCAUGUGAUGCCCUUUGCCAUGUUGUGACACAGCAAGGAGGCCCUCACCAGACGCCAGUGCCAUGUUCUUGGACUUCUCAGCCUCCAUAUUCAUGAACUAAGUAAGUUUUUUUUUCUUUAUAAAUUAUCCAGCAUAUAGUAUUCUGUUAGGUAACAGAAGACAGACUAAGACAACCAUACUCCCAGUGCCUAGAUUAAUACAUACACUGUAGAUGAUUAAUACAUAUGGUUCAUAUGGUGUUUUUGGAAUCCUUAGGCUUCCACGUGUGGAAAGCCUGAGCUAACCUACUGGAGGAUGAGCCAUCACCUGGAGCAGAUUCAGGCCAUCCUAGUUGAAGCCUCCCUAGGCCAAGCAACCGUCCAACUACCAGACAUUGACCAUUCAGCCUUGAACAUUCAGCACAAAGACAAAACAGACCAGACCAGAAGAGUCCCACAGAAUAGGGGAAACUAUUCAGAGAAAACUUAAGCCACUAAGUUUUAUGGUGUUUUGUUCUGUAGCAGAAGCAUAGGCAUACUGACAAUACAAACCGAAAUCCUUCUAACGUAGUGGACCUUUUCAGGCCAGCAUUUUUUCCUUGAAAACCUGGAGCAUGUAUCCAUCUUAUAGCAGAGAUCACUUUCACAAUGUUUGGGCUCUUGAUUUGAAUUGAUGAUGUAAUGAGCCCUCUAUCCAGAUUGUAACUAAUUACUCUGCGAAUUGACUGGAUUCCACACCCUUCUAAUAUUUUACUUUUCCUCUUUUAUCAACUCUCAUUCUUGCUGCCAUGAUCAAUGGACCAACUAUGCUUAUAACCACAAAUUUUGAUAUGCUUAACACAUUUUCAGGUAUCAUUAUAGCAACGCCCCACUCGUCAGUACCAAUUUUCUGUAUUAGUCUGUUCUCACAUUGCUACAAAUACCUGAGACUAGGUAAAUUUAUAAAGAAAAGAGGUUCUGCAGGUUGUAUAGGAAGCAUAAUGGCUUCUGCUUCUAGGAAGGCCUCAGGAAACUUACAGUCAUGGUGGAAGGCAAAGGAGAAGCAAGGAUUUCACAUGGCUGGAGCAAUUACCCAAAGGGAGAAUGCCACCAAAUUCUACAAGUGAUUAGCUUUUAUUUCUAGGAGGCAAAAAACAGGUGGCUUAUGCCUGUAAUCUCAGCACUUUGGGAGGCCAAGGUGGGCAGAUCAAAAGGUUAGGAGAUUGAGAUUUAUGGAGCUUUUUUUGCCUAAACCACUUACCUUCUUAGCAUAGGGACUUUUAAAAAUUCUGAUUAUCAGAAUAUGGCUGAGAGAUGUCAGAACCAUUUUUCUCAAAUAUGAAUUCUUAGCAGGAAUAGAAAUUGCAAUUUUUUAAUUUUUAAUUUUAAGAGGAAUUAGUGCCAGAGAGAACUAUUAAGAAAGGGGUAUAUCCAGUCUAAGGAUUAUUAGGCUCAAGUCCAUGAAUAGGCUCUGGGAAGUUUGUAAACACUUGGAAAUUAUUUGCAAAAUGUGUGUGUGAAUGUGCUUUACCUUAGAGAGUUCAUGAAUUUCAUUAGAUUGUUGAAAGAGUUUUAGUAUUAACAAAGGAAAAACAAACCCAUGGCCAUUUGGUUCUUGACAAGGUGCCAAUGGGAAAAGAAAAUUCUUU
rnacentral:lncRNA from 10 species